rnacentral:miRNA from 1 species
GUACAAUGCUCUGUACGCAGCA